AGAGUUUGAUCAUUGCUCAUGAUGAACGCUGACAGAAUGCUUAACACAUGCAAGUCUACUUGAAUUUGGGUCUUAGACUUAGAUUUGGGUGGCGGACGGGUGAGUAACGCGUAAAGAACUUGCCUCACAGUUAGGGACAACAUUUGGAAACGAAUGCUAAUACCUGAUAUUAUGAUUAUACGGCAUCGUAUAAUUAUGAAAGCUAUAUGCGCUGUGAGAGAGCUUUGCGUCCCAUUAGCUAGUUGGAGAGGUAACGGCUCACCAAGGCGAUGAUGGGUAGCCGGCCUGAGAGGGUGAACGGCCACAAGGGGACUGAGACACGGCCCUUACUCCUACGGGAGGCAGCAGUGGGGAAUAUUGGACAAUGGACCAAAAGUCUGAUCCAGCAAUUCUGUGUGCACGAUGACGUUUUUCGGAAUGUAAAGUGCUUUCAGUUGGGAAGAAAAAAAUGACGGUACCAACAGAAGAAGUGACGGCUAAAUACGUGCCAGCAGCCGCGGUAAUACGUAUGUCACAAGCGUUAUCCGGAUUUAUUGGGCGUAAAGCGCGUCUAGGUGGUUAUGUAAGUCUGAUGUGAAAAUGCAGGGCUCAACUCUGUAUUGCGUUGGAAACUGUGUAACUAGAGUACUGGAGAGGUAAGCGGAACUACAAGUGUAGAGGUGAAAUUCGUAGAUAUUUGUAGGAAUGCCGAUGGGGAAGCCAGCUUACUGGACAGAUACUGACGCUAAAGCGCGAAAGCGUGGGUAGCAAACAGGAUUAGAUACCCUGGUAGUCCACGCCGUAAACGAUGAUUACUAGGUGUUGGGGGUCGAACCUCAGCGCCCAAGCAAACGCGAUAAGUAAUCCGCCUGGGGGAGUACGUACGCAAGUAUGAAACUCAAAGGAAUUGACGGGGACCCGCACAAGCGGUGGAGCAUGUGGUUUAAUUCGACG
rnacentral:rRNA from 1 species